CCUACGGGGGGCUGCAGUGGGGAAUAUUGGACAAUGGGGGGAACCCUGAUCCAGCCAUGCCGCGUGUGUGAAGAAGGCCCUCGGGUUGUAAAGCACUUUCAGUGAGGAAGAACGCCUGGUGGUUAAUACCCAUCAGGAAAGACAUCACUCACAGAAGAAGCACCGGCUAACUCCGUGCCAGCAGCCGCGGUAAUACGGAGGGUGCGAGCGUUAAUCGGAAUUACUGGGCGUAAAGCGCGCGUAGGUGGCUUGAUAAGCCGGUUGUGAAAGCCCCGGGCUCAACCUGGGAACGGCAUCCGGAACUGUCAAGCUAGAGUGCAGGAGAGGAAGGUAGAAUUCCCGGUGUAGCGGUGAAAUGCGUAGAGAUCGGGAGGAAUACCAGUGGCGAAGGUGGCCUUCUGGACUGACACUGACACUGAGGUGCGAAAGCGUGGGUAGCAAACAGGAUUAGAUACCCCGGUAGUC
rnacentral:rRNA from 1 species